rnacentral:rRNA from 1 species
UACGGGGGGAGCAAGCGUUGUUCGGAUUUACUGGGCGUAAAGGGCGCGUAGGCGGCCACCGCAAGUCGAUUGUGAAAUCUCCGGGCUUAACCCGGAAAGGUCAACCGAUACUGCGGGGCUAGAGUGCAGAAGGGGCAACUGGAAUUCUCGGUGUAGCGGUGAAAUGCGUAGAUAUCGAGAGGAACACCUGCGGCGAAGGCGGGUUGCUGGGCUGAAACUGACGCUGAGGCGCGAAGGCUAGGGGAGCAAACAGG